CGAAACUCUGUCUGGUACAGUAUCACAGGCACUUUCUGGAUCUCACCCUUCUUUCAAAGUCGACUUGAAACUUGAAAGUUCAUCUAUGGCUCGGGUGAAAGACAUUCGGAAGAUGGAUGAGUGGCUCUUAAUGGAGCAACUAACCAUUUGUCGACAACGUUCAAGAGAUUAACCACACUGGUUGUAGAAGUUUAUUGCUCCAAGUGGAAAUUCCUGCCAAUGUUGCUUGAAAACUCUGUCAAUUUACAAGUUCUCCAACUUUACAAGGUCAGUCUAAGGCUGUUGUAUGUGAAGAAACAAUGAAAAUUACCACUUGUAGAAGGAGUUGUUCUGUUACACUUUCAACUCUUGGAGAAUGUAGUGAACAGCUAUUUUUUGUUGUAACCAGCCAUGGUAUCUAUGUUGUCAAGAAACACAUAAUGGAUGCUGGAGGAUUCCUAGUUGCUUGCUAUCAAGUCUCAGAGAAAUGUUCGUCAGAGGAUUUACUGGCCUGGAAGAUGAGCUUGCAAUGAUAAGGUAUGUUCUGAAGUAUGGGAGAGUCCUCAAAAAAAUGGAGCUAGAUUCUGGUCUGUAUGCUGAUGACUUCAAGAAAAAGUUCCAGUUGCUUCAGAAGAUAUUAAUGUUCCCCAGAAAGUCAUUUACAUGUGUGAUUGCAUUUUGUUGAGGUGCAUAGAUGAGCUGAUUAUGACCUUUUUACUAAGAGGUGAUGUAACUAAAGUAGAAUUGAGUUUUUAAUUUCUACGUGUUAAGUUUUUUGAAGUUGUGUGUACAAAUACGUUUUAUGGUGCUGCUUACAGUUUUUAAGGGAUAGGAACCAUAUGACCCAAGUAGCUUGCUCU